GACAGAGGUCCCGAGCGUUAGGCGGAAUCACUGGCUUAAAGCGCGUGUAGGCGGGUCAGCACGUCGGUUGCUGAAAUCCCCCGGCUCAACCGGGGAACGGGCACCGAUAUGACUGGCCUGGAGGGGAGUAGGGGGACCUGGAACUUCCGGUGGAGCGGUGAAAUGCGUUGAGAUCGGAAGGAACGCCCGUGGCGAAAGCGAGGUCCUGGGCUCCUGCUGACGCUGAGACGCGAAAGCCAGGGGAGCGAACGGG
rnacentral:rRNA from 1 species